AUGUCAGACGCGGCCCUCAGUGCGGCGCAAUGGGUGGUGGGCAAGGCGCUAGCCCCCGUCACGGAUGGUCUGCUAGAGGCUUGGGCAGGUAGCAGGAACCUUGGUCUCAACAUUGAGGCCCUCAGUACGGAACUGCUGCUAGUGAAAGCCAUGCUCGAACAAGCUGCUCUCAAGGAGCUCGGUGGCCCAGCCAUGGAGAUACUGCUGCAGAAGCUGCGGGAUUCAGCACACAAUGCCGAAGACUUGCUGGAUGAGCUGGACUACUUCCGCAUCCACGAUGAGCUCCAUGGCACGUACAAUGCUGCUGAACAGCAAGGCAAGAGUGGUGUCCACAACCUUGUCGUCAAUGCUCAUCACAUCGCCAAAGCUCUUGGCAAACAACUAGCAUCUUUGUCUGCGUACUGGUUUGGUGCCAAUGCUGGUGAUCACCGACAACAAGAUGCAAGACAACAUGUUAAUUAUUGUGCUUCACAGCAUGGUAAGAAGAGGUUACGUGGUGAUUUCUCAUCAGCGCCAAAGGCCAAUCAGGCUGAUGAGGAGGCCAGCAGGCGCAUGCCCAAGCUCGGUAAAUUCCUCCAUGGCUCAUCUUCCCCACACCCCCAUGUUCACGAUGACAAUUGCAGCAAUGCACAAGAAACACCAAAGCUUGAGUUUAAUAGGGUGAAUUUCUCUCAAAGGGUGAAGGGCAUUGUAGAGAAACUGCAACUUAUGCGUAAUGAGGUUAGCAAAAUUCUGCAAUGUUGUAGCCCUAGAACUGUCCCAAACAUUGCCUUGAGUCGUCCCAUCACCAAAGGUCGAAUUGAUGAGCCAAAACUGUAUGGGAGGGAUUGGGUCAUGAAUAGCAUCAUACAUGAUAUCACCAAGGGUCAAUAUUGUGACAAGGGUCUAACUGUGCUUUCGGUUGUUGGUCCCGGGGGGAUGGGGAAGACAACUCUGAUACAACACAUAUAUCGCAACCAACAAGUGAAGAAUUAUUUUCCAGUCAUGAUUUGGAUUUGUGUGUCGCUCAAUUUCAGUCUGGAUAAGGUGCUAGAACAAAUUAAAACAUGUACCCCUGCAGUUGAAAAUGAAAAGGAGGGCAGUACAACUGAAGAGUUGAUUGAAGAAAGAUUGAAAUCUAAAAGGUUCUUACUUGUAUUGGAUGAUAUAUGGCAGAUUAGUAAUGGGGAUGACUGGGAAAAUCUACUGUCGAUACUCAAUCAAUCACAAGAAAAGGGUUGCACAAUUCUAGUCACAACUCGGUUUCAAGCAAUAGCACAGAAGGUUAAAACAGGUCAUUCAAUACAAUUGAACGGUUUAGAAUCUGAAGAGUUUAGAAAGUUAUUUUUUGCAUUUGUCUUUGGCGAUGAGCAGUGUGCAAGGGAUAAACAUUUUCUGCUUGAGACUGGAGAUAAGAUAAUCCAAAAACUAAAGGGAUCCCCUCUUGCAGCAAAAACUGUUGGUAGAGUACUCAGUAAAGAACUUAGUUUGCAUCAUUGGAAAAGGGUGCUAAAAAGUAAAGAAUGGGAGACCGAUAACAAUGGAAUUAUGCCUGCCUUAAGGCUUAGCUAUGACUUUCUCCCUUUCCAUCUGCAACAAUGUUUCGCCUAUUCUGCAUUGUUUCCUGAAGAUUAUUGUGUCACAAGCCACCAGCUCAUUGGCCUAUGGACAGGACUAGAUAUUUUGAUACCUGGUGGUCAAAACCAAACAUUGGAAGAUAUAGGUUUGAGCAAUUUAAAUGAGUUAGUAAUCCAUGGAUUUUUCAGAGAAGAGGAAACUUAUGCAGGUCUGCGGUACGUUAUGCAUGACCUACUGCAUGAUUUGGCAUUGAAGGUUGCAUCGCAUGAUUGUCUUAGUUUACGUCUCCCUAAUGUUGAGUCAGUAGAAGUUCAGCCAUCGACCCAUCACUUAUCUAUAAGCAUAGAGGACUUAGGUGAAUAUGAUGCAGUGUCUGGCCAAAAAUUAAAGAGUGAACUGAAAGAACUGAAAACAAGAUUGAAGGUUGAACAUUUGCAAAGUUUGAUGUUAUUUGGAAAAAUAGAUAAAAGUUUUGCCAAGGUAUUUGGUGAUUUUUUUGGGGAAGCAAAUUCUCUUCGUGUUCUUUAUUUGCCCAACAUGAUGUAUCCAGUGGAAUGCAUGUUGCAUAACUUCUCACGACUUGUCCACCUACGAUUCCUGUGUCUAGGGACAUGGGACAGACAGAUACAUUUACCACCUAACAUGUCUAAACUUUACCACUUAAGGGUUCUAGAUCUUGAGUCAUGGUAUGGUAGUCAUGAUUUGCCUGAAGACAUGAGCAACCUUGCCAAAUUGUGCCAUUUUUAUACUCCAAUUGAUUGUUUUAAAACCGGUCCUUUGUAUACCACAAUAGAUGAGCAAUGUUAUGAUAUUUAUAAUGUGGGAAAACUUAUACACUUAGAAGAGUUAGAGGUAUUUCAAGUCAACAAAAAGAGUGAAGGAUUUGAACCAAAGCAACUAGAGACUUUGACCAAGCUAAGGGAGCUUGGAAUGUAUAACCUUCACAAAAUACAUACAAAAGAAGAAGCGGCUCAAGUAAAACUGAUAGAGAAAAACUACCUGAGAAGGUUAACAUUGGAUUGGGAUAGUAAGCGAUCUAAUGUUGACCCUAGUUUGGAAGCAUUGGUUCUUGAGAGACUUCAACCACAUGGAGAUCUUCAAGUAUUGUGCAUUAGAGGGCAUGGAGGCCCUUCUUGUCCAACAUGGCUGGGUGAUGAGUUCGCUAUUGAAGCUAUACAGUCUCUUUAUCUUUCUGGUGUUUCUUGGGAGGUUUUCCCUUCUCUAGGGAAGGCGUGGGAUCUUCGUGAAUUAAGGUUGGAGCAUAUUGGCACACCAAAGGAGUUUAUCAUAGAAAAAAGCUUUUGCAUGCUAAUAAAGCUUGAACUCAUUGGCCUAGAGAGUUUUGAAAAAUGGGUUUGUCCAGCUGAACAAGAGUCUGCCUUGGGUAGAGACCUGUCGCCACCACAUGCUCAUAUGUUCCCUCUUUUGCAAAUGCUAUUUAUUAUGAAUUGCCCGAAAUUCUUGUGGUUGCCUUCUUCAAACCAUAUUGUUUUCCCAGAUUGGUUUCCCAAACUACAAGAGUUUGUAAUUGUGAACUGCCCAAAAUUCCUGUCAGUGACUCCCAUCUCCUGGAUUGAAAGGUUGUGCCAUUUCCAUUUAUCAGAUGUGAAGCUACUACAUUUGUUUAAAUACUCAAAAUCAUCUGAUGGGGUAGAAUUGACGAUUAAUGGAGAGGGUGAUCUACAUAGUUUAGACCAAGUGUUAGUUCUGGAUAAAGAAGCAGGUGUUGAGAAGCUGACACUCGGUAGGUGCCCACCUCUUGAGUUGAAGCACCUUCUGAUGCUAACCUCGCUGAAGACAUUGAUUGUAUUUAGUUCAGAUGCCCUGGUUGGACCACUAGGAGGUCAAGGUGAUUUCGAAUGGCAACUCCCCGUUGAGAAUAUCAGGAUGAAUGACUUAAAUGGUACUAGUGGGAAGGAAUUGAUAAAGCUCCUCCCCCACCUCCCAAGGCUCUCCAAAUUGGAAAUAGAAUACAUAGAAAACAUAGUGGGGGUGGAUCUACAACAAACAACAUCAGCUAUUUCGUUUUUCCGUCAACUUUUUCCUUCCUCCUUGCAAUUCCUGGGGCUUAGGAGUGUGGAAGGCAUGGGGACACUUGAGCCCCUCUCAAGCCUCUCCUCUCUUACCAUAUUAGAAUUGAAUUAUUGCGGGCAUGAUCUGAAAUGUCAGGGCUUGCGGUCUCUCCUUACAUCUGGGGGCCAGCUCAACAAAUUAAAAGUCUUUGGCAGCCCUAGAUUCUUUGUUGGUUGGGAUCCCAAUCCCAGACGGGCGUUGGAGGAUGUUGAAGGAGAAGAGCAGCAAACACAGCUUGUUUCAUCCACACUGCGGGAGCUCUGCACGGAUGAUGCAGCGGGACUCCUUGCUGCACCCAUCUGCAGCUUCCUCUCCUCCCUCUCCGAGUUGGGACUUCGUGGGAAUGGGUCCAAAGAGGUGGAGCGCUUCAGCAAGGAGCAAGAGGACGCCCUUCAACUCCUCUCCUCCCUCCAGGAACUAGAGUUUUGGAGUUUCCACAAUCUUCAGCAACUCCCUGCAAGGCUGCACAACCUUACCAGUCUCGAGAUACUAUCAAUCAGCGACUGUCCAGCUAUCUCAUCGUUGCCCAGUGAUGACCUGCCCAAAUCACUGCAAGAGCUAAAUGUUAGAUACUGCUCGGAGGAGCUAAAACAGCAGUGCAGAGGGUUAGUGGGAACCAUCCCAAGAAUCAUACAACACUGA
rnacentral:rRNA from 1 species